ensembl:lncRNA
AUGUUUGUUGGAACUUCAAUGGAAAAUAGUCCCGCUUUACUUGUGCCAGUCAUCAGUCUUGACAGCCAAUCAGAAGGCCUUGAUUCGUCUCUUCCGUGCUGGGUGCCACGGGCACAGCAUGACCUUGCUCAGAGGGUGGCAGAGUUACGUCAGUUACAGGAGCGCCAUGUCACUGAGACUGAAGCUGUAAAACGUGGCAUAGAGCGAGCUAUCUUGGGUUGCCGCAGAGAGGAGCGCCGCCUGCUGGAGAGGGUGGAGCAGGACCAUCGUGACACUCAACAGCGACUGGAGCAAGUUCAGAAGGAGAACUUGGCAGCAGCCAGAGUCAGCAUGGGUCUGUUAGACCAGAGGCUAUGCAAACUGGUUCAGCUUCAGCAGCAAGUCCAAGAGGCGGCUCCAUUAGUUUUAAAUGAUAGCAGUGCAAACCAAAAUUUACUUCUCAAAGAAGUGGCAGAAUUCCUACAACCAUGGGAAAUAUCUGUUUCCCUUAAAAAAGUCAAUUUCAAGCCUAGCCCUCAACCCAAUGCGGUAGUUUUUGGAGAGAUCCAUGUGCAAGAACAAAGCCUAUCGCUACAUGUUGGGGGUUGUGGACGUCAAGGUCAGAUGUGUUCUCUCCAUUCUCAGGCAAUGAAGCUGGGAGAUACAACAAAUAAAUGUUCUGGAAGAAAGCCAAAAUCCAAAGAUCAAGACUGGACUUCACCAGCAGGCAGGGUGAUUAAAAAAAUCAGCCUCUCUAACCAAAGUGAUUUAGAGUUAGAGGAAGAGCAGACAAUGUCUUCUGCAAAGAUAUCUCAAUGGCUUCCAAAGUGUCAACAGCCUGAUUGGGAGUCAUGCCAGGAAGACAAGGUUGAUACAGCAUAUCUUCAGCAGCAAGGAAAAGACAAAUAUAUGGCUGUCUCUACAAAUCUGAAGGACAUGGAUAAUAAAAGCAGAGACCCAGCGUACAUAAUGAGCAGUGAUGAGUUGCACUGCUGUCCCAGAAAUCCAAGGAAAAUGUUAGGCAUGGCCGGCAGGAAGCCAUCACCAUCCCCCGAGCGAAGAAGAGACCGUGUAAAGCUUGGUUACUCCUUGAGUUUGGACAGACAGGAGAGCGAUAAAAGAAAGAUUAUUCAAGAAUCUUCAACAGACAACAGAUUUCUGAGGUAUGGCAGCACUCCCCAUACCUGUCCAAGGUUGGCACAAAGACAGUCUCAAGCUAGCCAAAGCUGCCUAGAUCUUACCUCCACGGGGCGUUCUCACUCUCGUCUUAGCCAGUCUUCUGACGAACAUUCUUUGGGUACACAGGGGGACUCGGGUCGUGCACCAUCGCCAGCAGACAGCCUCGACUCGAGCUAUACUUUCAUUGUCAGCCCAUCUCAUCAUGAGUACAGCAUAAAUCGGGGGUCUUUGAGCUACAGUUGUCGUCUAUCAAGGUCUGCGGUUGAUUUGACACAUAAGACGUAUCCGUUAAUCACUGCAGGAUCUAAUGGACAUGGAGAGUGGAAGAGCACCAAUAUCAACAGCAGGUCAAGAACUACAUCACCACCCAACAGAAAAGGACCAAGAGUAGCUGACACAAAAAAAUACAAAGCUUAUAACACUUUACCACAAAGGAAAGCCACCGCAGCUGAAGUGGUGAAGUCUGCCAUUUGUAGCUCUGCAAAAGAGACAAAAGAGGCUCGGGAAGAAAGAGGAGAGCCGGCAUUGGUAGUGUUAGAAGAGGAGGAUGACCUGUCAUUUACAGAUUUCAGCACACCAGGUGUCCAUCUUAUCAGUCAGUUUGGGAAACAGGGUUCAGGCAGGUCAGAUCUUACCCUGCCCAGUGGAAUCCACGCCAUGUCACAGGGCCAGAUGUUUAUAGUGGACUGUGGUAAUGCACGCAUUCAGGUAUGUAGAGUGGUUUCACUGUGUUUCACUAUGUUACCCUGGAGAAUAAAAUUGUCCAUUUUAUAA